GGCUCAAUGGUCUAGUGGUAUGAUUCGUGCUUCGGGUUCGUCCCAUUGCUUGGUAACGAGCAACAGAAAUGUGCGAGGUCUCGGGUUCAAUCCCCGAUUGAGCCC